rnacentral:rRNA from 1 species
GACGAACGCUGGCGGCGUGCUUAACACAUGCAAGUCGAACGAAGUGGCGAACGGGUGAGUAAUACGUGGGUAACCUGCCCUCCUUUUUGGGAUAAGCCUUGGAAACGGGGUCGAAUACCGAAAUAAGGGGGAUGGGCUCGCGGCCUAUCAGCUUGUUGGUGGGGGGAUGGCGUACCAAGGCGGUGACGGGUAGCCGGCCUGAAAGGGUGACCGGCCACAUGGGGACUGAGAUUGGGCCCAGACUCCUAGGGGAGGCAGCAGUGGGGGAUAUUGCACAAUGGGCGAAAGCCUGAUGCAGCGACGCCGCGUGUAUGAAGAAGGCCCUAGGGUUGUAAAGUACUUUCAGUCUGGAGACGUUACCGACAGAAGAAGCCCCGGCUAACUCCGUGCCAGCAGCCGCGGUAAUUC